AAUUGCUGCUUGCGGGUCACGUACGACCCGGGACGUGGGCAUGAGGGCUGUCUCGCCAGCGGGUGACACGGACCUGCCAGCUACCUUUAGGUGCAAGGCAGCUGGGCAUGAGGCAGGUGGUCGCCUGGCGUGCGGGCGGGGGAGAGAUGGCAGGAAGAGUUUCACGAGGGGUGGGCGGCGGCGAGCGGGAACACCGCUUGGGUGGCUGUAUCUACGAGCCGCGGGCGGGUGAACCACGCACGGUCCAAUCUCGUUAAGUCCAACGCAUCCCUCUUAGAACGAUGGGACCACAGCCACGGCGCACCACUGUCCCGCAUCCGCCACCCACGUGGCCGUGCUGCGGGAGAAAGCUGACCAAGUCGGACUCUGGGCAACGUGUGGGGCCCCCCAAAGGCGUGACAGGUCAGCUCCAUGGGUCUACACACUUGGAAAUGCCAACACUGAACUUUGGCUCAAACUUUGUCCAACUAUCCCCGUGAGCGACGGCUCAACCCUCUGAGCAUCCAACGGAAUGGGCCAACUGGGUCGCGACCGUCCACUCACUCCCCUCCGACCCCAGUGCCGGGUCAGCCAUUGGGCUGGGGUCACGCCAAUCAAGGUUGCCUGGCGAAUGAGCAGGGGGCGUCCGGCCGGAAACCGGAUAUGAAUGGGAGGUCCAAUAGGGGGCGCCGCGUUGGAACGCCCUGAGAGGUUGUGCUGCUGGGGUGGUUGGAAGCGGUUGGUGGGCGGGCGUAUGGCGGCCAGGCCUGGGACGCCUCGAGGCCGGCUGGCGCCGUGGGGUCACUCUUCCUGAUGCCACAAGUCACAAAGGCUGGAAGGGAAGGUUGGGGGCUGACAGGGGUCAACCCUAGGUCUCGCAGGUGGCGGUGGGCAAACCCUCCCGUCCGGGGGAACCGCUGCUGAGACCAGGCGAGAAGGAAGAAAAUGUCCAGGGCCUGGAGGUAGAGGGCCAGGACCCUGAGGAGGGAGAGGGCUCACUGCCCCGAUGCGGAGGAGCAGUCCCAGACGGAAAAGGAGUUGAGGCCCCAGGGAUGCUGCGCCCUGCCGAAGUAGAAGGGACUGGCCACCAGAAUCUGAAACCUCAAAUCACUCACGCGAGGGGGUUCAAAGCUGAAAGCAUCACAGAUCAGCAGUGGGACUUGAGACGCCUCAGAAGCGCGUCCAGAUGUUUGAGGAGCUGGCCAACGUGAACGGCAGCUGGCGGGCCUGGCCACGGGGACCUGAGGACCCCGCUAUGAUACAUGCUUUCCCCUACACCAUGGUUUCUGCUCAGUUUCCUCUCAAUAGCUUCCGUCUGCAGGAAGAGCGGCGAUAACACAGAUUCACCAAAGACGUCGUACUUGGUGAACGCAGGCUGCUAAGACGUUACCACAGGAAAAAAAAUAACACGUAAUGCCACAGAAAGGAGCCAUAUGCCCACUGGUGACCUGAAGUAGAAAUUUCAACUUCGGAGAGCUCCAUCUCACUUAGGCAAUUUCACACUGGUAAGCCAAAGGCAGCGCGCGCCUGGCCCUGCUGCGCCACCUCGGCAGCCUCCCGACUUCUGACCCCUCCCCGCGGCCCAGGGAAGCCCCCUGCUACCAAACGGCCCUCUGGGUCCAUACUAGUGAAGACACACAGGCAUCCAGCAGCCAGCAUAACUAAGUUCUGGGGCGCCGCGACGCCUUUCCCAGAGAAGAGACCUGGAAGGAGGACCAAGAAAAGUGUGUUCCUUCCGGCCUCAUCCUUCCCCUAGGAGUUUAAGAACCCGACUGAUCUUUUCCUUUCCAGCCUAAAAACGGUUCACUCCCCCCUCCCCCCAAAUCAUUCUCCGCAGACUAGCCCAAACCCGCGCAAAGCGAGACGCACGCGCGCACCAAGAAAACAUCAAUUUCCAUACCGGGUGAGGUUCUGUAAAAUACAUUUCAUUUGUCAGUCUUUUCCUCCAGGAUUGGCAGGUAAGACACACUUUACGCACCGAAGAUGACACACUUUACGCACCGAAGAUCUGUUACCGGAUUGCAGCCGUUUUUGUGCUCGGACACCAGGGCGGUUUCACCUCCAGGUUACGGAUUCCAAACUUAGCUCCACCCGAGCCGAAAAUGGCCGGUGCGCCGCCUCCCCUCCCCGAGGCUGCCGAAGCCGCCGCCGGCCCCUGCCCCCCUCUUGACCGAUCCCCGAAGGACUUGCGUCGGAUCGGAUCCAACACCUUUCCCCGGCGCGGUAGUGCUGUGCUCUUUGGGGACGCAUUGUAGGGUGCCCCGAUGAAAGACGCGAUCCCCUCUCCAGCCCCGUUCCUUGUGCCGCUUUACCUUUCCGCUCGGCACCGCCUCGCGGGCCUCUUAGCCCCUCUCUUCUGUCCCCAGGUCCGUGCGCAAACAGCCUCAGACCUCUCCAGCCAGGCUGCACCCGGCCCCGCCGCCAGAUCAGCUGCGCCAAAAGGGUAGCGAUGCCCCGACGUGACCAAGCCCGCGCCACUAACCCUGGUAGCCGGUAGGGGCACCCCCUAAGACUCCCGUACCUUCUCUGCCAGCCCUCCAAGUACGCGUGAUUCGUGGGGAACCGCGGGCGGUCC